GACGAACGCUGGCGGCGUGCUUAACACAUGCAAGUCGAGCGAUGAAGUUCCUUCAGGAAUGGAUUAGCGGCGGACGGGUGAGUAACACGUGGGUAACCUGCCUCAUAGAGGGGAAUAGCCUUCCGAAAGGAAGAUUAAUACCGCAUAAGAUUGCAGUAUCGCAUGAUAUAGCAAUUAAAGGAGUAAUCCGCUAUGAGAUGGACCCGCGUCGCAUUAGCUAGUUGGUGUGGUAACGGCUCACCAAGGCGACGAUGCGUAGCCGACCUGAGAGGGUGAUCGGCCACAUUGGGACUGAGACACGGCCCAGACUCCUACGGGAGGCAGCAGAGGGGAAUAUUGCACAAUGGGGGAAACCCUGAUGCAGCAACGCCGCGUGAGUGAUGACGGUCUUCGGAUUGUAAAACUCUGUCUUCAGGGACGAUAAUGACGGUACCUGAGGAGGAAGCCACGGCUAACUACGUGCCAGCCGCCGCGGUAA
rnacentral:rRNA from 1 species